rfam:Culex pipiens quinquefasciatus supercont3.1009 genomic scaffold, whole genome shotgun sequence.
CUCUUUGGUUAUCUAGCUGUAUGAGUGAAUUUUGAACAUCAUAAAGCUAGCAUACCGAAGUU